rnacentral:lncRNA from 1 species
GCGCCAAUACCUCUGGCGCCUCCUCUAAAAUUUUAAGGGGUGCGCCAACUCCCCCGGCGCAUCCUCUCCCAAACAUGGUUAUUUUGGAUUUUUUUUUGAAAACUUGGUUAUUUUCGUAUUUAAUUUGAAAAACAUGGUUAUUUUAAAAAAAAAUCUUAGGGUGUUACAAUGACACGUGGCGAUAUUAAUAAAAAAUAAAAAUAAAAACAAAUAAGAAAUCACUGAAUGAAAAAAAUAGAAAAGGAAAAGAUCGCCAACAUCACUUUCUCACUCUCGUUCUCAUCUUCCUUCUCCAUGAAGAAGAAGAAUAACAACUUCAAAGCCCUUUUUUUG